CCAGGGAGGGAUAAUUUUGCCAUUAGCCUUACCUUGUUUCCACAGUAAUUUGUGUCCCUGGGAAUUUUCCCACAUUUUUCCCUUUUCCAUCUCUCAUGCUAACUUCUUAAAAAUUAAGAGGAAAAUUAUCUUUGGCUGUGAUCCCAACUGUUCAUUUGAAAUCCAGGGUAAAUGGAGGGAAGCUGCACAAAUUAAAGCAACUUGAGAAAAACAAAGCCUAUUUCUUCAUUUGUUCAUGCUUUCUUGCUUUCAUUUGUUUUUGUUUACUGUGCUGUCAAGAAAUAAACUCUCAUAUACUUCAGAGAAUGUAUAUUUCUACUCAAGUUUUCAUCUUUGCAGAGCCAACACGAGGAGCUAAAGAAACAGCACAGUGACUUGGAAGAGGAACAUCGCAAACAAGGGGAAGACUUCAGUAGAACAUUUAAUGACCAUAAGCAAAAAUACUUGCAGCUGCAGCAAGAAAAAGAACAAGAACUUUCUAAGCUAAAAGAAACUGUAUACAAUUUGAGAGAAGAGAAUAGACAACUAAGGAAAGCACACCAAGACAUACAUACACAGCUUCAAGAUGUCAAGCAACAACAUAAGAAUUUACUCUCGGAGCAUGAACAACUUGUAGUGACUUUGGAAGACCACAAGAGUGCACUAGCUGCUGCACAGGUUAGAAGGGUAGCAGCCUCUGUGGGUUCUUUUUACAAGUCUGCUUAACAUUUCUCAAUUCCUUUAUGCAUGUAGUCUCUUACAAGCCAAUCUUCAGUGAGUUCCUUAGGACAGAGCUAUCCUAAUCCUGAGAACCAUGCAUGCUUUCAAAGUUCAGUUAAUAAAACAUUAAAUAAACUUUUGAUUAUUUUUUGCACUGGUUGUGCAGUACAUUUAUGAUCAUUUCUUUUCACUCCAGUCCCUACAUGCAAUAGUCUCAUACUUGUUUAAAUCACAGAAAUGAUCUCACAUAUAUGGUCUUUUGCAACUACCUGAUCUGUGUUGACUCUUGGUGUUGUAUCUGUAGGAUUUUAUGCUGCUAGCUACCGAAAUAAACUGUUGUCAGACUUUUUCUUCUGUGUCUGCCUUGCUCCCUGCAUUCUAGCCUGCACACCCUCCUUUUGGAACGAGGCUUAUGUGUUGUUGGUCAAAUUACAGAAAAGAAGAAGAGUCAACAGAGAAGGAAAAAUAAGAGUCAUAAGCUCCAUUUGUUCAAACCUAGAACAGCCCCUGGCACAAGGCAGGCCCUCAGUAUAUAUUUACUGAAUGAACAGGGGAACAAAUACAAAUGUUGGAGAGCUUAUUAAAGCCAUUUCAUGCUAAGUGUU
rnacentral:lncRNA from 10 species